rnacentral:lncRNA from 1 species
CUUCCGGGACUGUUGUACCAUGCCUGACGACGCUAGUCUCCAAAUAUGGCGCCCCAACUCAAAAAGGAACAAUCCUGGGUAUCUUUCGGUCUUUGGGUGCUCUGGCUCGUGCUUUGGGCCCAUUGCUGUCAGCUACAGUCUACUGGUGGGCAGGUCCUGUGGUCUGCUACUGUAUUGGUGGCUGCCUGUUCAUCUUUCCACUGCUCAUCCUCAGGAACCUGUACAGAACAGUUGGGGACAUGGUCAAAUAAGAUCAUUUCUCCACUGAUGUAGAUUAGAGACAACUAUAGUGAUUGUGCAGUGUUUGGAAAGUUGUCUUUCAAAAGUGUGGCAACGUGUGUGUUGUUUGCUCAGAUUAUUAUUCAGUGUGAUGAAGUUGUCUUCAUAACACCUAAUCACAAGGCCACUAACCAUGUGAUUAUCUUGUUGCCAUUUUACUCCAUAGCAGCUUCCUUUUUCUUCUGUAAGAGAUUGUUUUCACAUUUUUUGGUUUGCUGUCUGUACAUUAUAGAUGUAUAAUUUGUAUUAAGAUAUUGUUGCGAAUUUAUAAGUGAUACCAUUUGCAUUUAGAACCAGUGUGAAUGUUGUGAAAUGCCUACUGUUGGCCUUCUGUAAGCAUUUGUUUUGAACAUUGAGCAUUUAUUGUAGUAACAAAUGAAGAUUCUGAUUUUGUCUUUUGCUUGUUUGCUCGUUUGAACGUUGUAAUUCCUCAGCACCAGUUCUCACUAUUGAAAUUUUUAUGGUGCGUUAGCGUAAUGCAAAACAGUAUUUAUUGCCCUAGCGUCAAAACAUAUUAAAGUCCUUCUACCUUUUUUUCUAAAUAUUAUUGUCUCUCAUGAAAUGGCACAUUGCAUCAGAUUAUUCCCAAAGAAAUUAUUCUUGCUGCAGUCUGUUACUAUACUCCGAGCAUUUAUUUUUCUCUGUGUUUGUAUGUGUUCCAAUGUAUGUGCUUGCAUGUUCUGUAGUUGACUGAAUAUUAACUCACUGAAAUUCAAGAAACACCAAGAUGUGCCUAGAUCAACAUAAGCGCAGAAAGCAGAUGAGCAUAUCAGUUAAUGGUAGUUUAUCAAGAAACUAUGACACUUCUGCACAAGUUGACUUUGCUUGACACCAAGUAACCUACGUAAGCCUUCGAUUUAAAAAACUUGGUUGAAAAGGGAGGAGUCAUCGAACAUUGAGGGGUAGAAAUUUCGGAAGAGGCAAAAUCUAGCUACGAAGAUGAUAACAUUUACAUUUAUUUUAAGCUUAGUUACACUGCAGUUACUGGAGCAAUUUGUUGAAAGUAUAUGUCAUAGCUGGGUUUUGAAUAAAUUCCAGUGCAGUAGAAAGGGUAAUCAGAUGAACAUCCCAAAUGGCCCUGCAUAUUCCAGUUAUGGACAAAUGAGUGUUAUGUAAGCUAGCAGUUUAGUAUGAGGGGAGGCCAUGUACAGGUUCCGCCCUAAGAAACCGCGGACACAGUUCAUUUCAUUGAUCAUGUUCAUUGGCCAAUUGAAAUCAUUGGUGAGCAGAGUGCUUAAAAUAUUUUGACACAAUUGAUAGCAUACAUUCCAGACAUGCAAGAGUAACUGCAAUGAAAGGCAAUCGGAGGUUCGCACUGUGUUUGGGGACACUAUCUGAUAUGUGCACCAAGAAUAAAUAUUAUUAAAGUCAGACUGAAGGAUAUUAAACGUCUUUAGAAUUAGUAAUAUGGCAGUAAAUUAUGCAAUUGUAGGUGCAUGACGAAGCGCAUGGUAUUAGGGAAGCUGGGUAAUCAAAAACAAGCGGAUCAAUAUUCAGAGGUGACAGUUUUAGAAACGACAGUCUAUUCGAAACCUCAUGCAGUGCUUCUUGAAAACCUAAGCACCAAGUUUUGAUGGGUGUAUUUCAUUCGUGCUAAUGGUCAAAUCACUUACAAAAAGCCCUACGUGGGUGUCGCAUGAUGUGUUUCUGGGAGAACCCUACUGAUUGUUAUGAAAGAAGUUAGCAGAAACAGAAAUUAUAUGUGGGUUUACUGAGACCACUAUAGUCUAAUUAAAGUAGAACAUUUCGAUAUGCCAAAGGUAUGUGUUCUACGUACAUUUUCAAGAUUUGUGCAUCAGAUCAUUUUAGAACAUAUACUAUGUGUCUGGUGGUUACUGAUGCUAGCUGCUUUAGUGCCUAUCAAAUGACCCAUGAAAAAGCUUUCUCGGUGUAAAAUUGAGGUGCAAUUUCACAUGCUAAAUGGUACAUUUAUGCAUCUGUACUUUAGAUAGCACAGAAAACCUGUUUUAUUCUGUAUUGUAAUGUUUCAUAGCAAAUCCUCUGGUAGUUAUUGUUAUUACUUCUCCUGGCUUGUGAUGUAAUUAUUAGCUAAAACACAAAAUAUGUGCGCAUCCCUUUCUGUAGUUAUGAUCUGCUGAGUCAUAUACUUGUCAAGAGGAAGCCAAUCUAGUUGGGAACUUUGGGCUAGCACAAAAACAUUCGUGGGUUCGAUAUAUAAUACACGUGGGAUAGAUUGUACAGUUAGUGUUGGAGCACCAGUAAGCAAGACACUAUUUUCAAUAGGUUACACAUCAGGUUGUCAGGCUUGGGAGAUGUGCUAUGGUCUUUCAUCUCAUUCCGCACUUUGAGGCACAUUCAAUAUAUUUGUUGAUAGCCAAAGGAUUAAAACUGGACAACUGGAAAGACACAUUGUGUGCUCAGUAUCAGUGCUACAUAAUUGCCAAAACAGCACACAUUCAUGCAUUCACCAAAAUUCGAAGGCUUUGUAAUCACGUACAGUCAGCUGAAAGCCAGGGUAUUGGCUAUGGUCUAGCCUUGCUGCAGCCUCAAUUAAGCAGCUUGCAGUGAAGAACUCCAUAACACAGUUGUGGCUAUUGGCACUGCGAGCAUGUGCAUUUGUGUGGCCAAAGUUUACUUCAGAGAACUGCUCACUGCACCAGGAAAUAACAUAGUGAAACCGGAAUUUAAAAACCUUGUUGCAAAAUGCACGAGUAAAUGAAUGGCAGCACAAGACAGGUCCUAUGUACUCGUAUCAGAAUUUUCCAUGGCAUGGCGAGGUCAGAGUGUAAUUUUAUUUCCUGGAUACUUCUUCAAAAUACGACCUUAGCCUAGAAGCUAUGCCAGCAUGUCUAUUUGUGUCAGCAAUUCAACUUGAAAAUCAUAGGGAUCUCAAUACUCCCCCCUGCCACUCCCUCGUCCCUUCUUUUUUUUUUUUUUUUUUAACAUGAAAAAAAAAAAUGUGGGAUCAAGGGCUAAACAUAUUGUGAUGUUUUGUGUGGCACAACUGUGCUAGUGCAUUUGUGGAGCAUUUGUUUACCAUAGUCUAUUUAUUAUUGUUAUUACUAUUACUUAUAUUACUUGUCGUAAGUACCCUGCAGCCCAUUGUAUGUCAUAGGUUCUAGAGUGAGCUAUUGGGCAGUCAUCAUUUCGUCUGGGCUCAGUCUUGCGAUUGAAUUCACAUGUUGUAAAGUUGCAUUUGGCUCAUGCAAAGGCACGUAAGUUCCCCACGUUGUGCUGAAUCAAUUGGAAUUUUGUUCCUCAACAAAGCAUGAGGGGAAAGUGGGUAAGUGAGAAGUGUGACUUGUUUCCAAACAUGUGAUUGCUAUCAAUACUGCUCAGCCUCAUUGAAGAUGUGCUAGUAUUUUUUGUCUGUUAUGGUGCAACUUCAAGGUUGCCCAUGUAUAACUUGCAGCGCCAGCUCAUACAGUUGUACUAAAGCGCCAUUUCCUGUUGUCAUGCACGAAUAUUUUAUAAUAUAGCCACCCAAGAUCAGUUAUAGCAUUUUUGUAACUGACCUUCAGGUUGACGGCUUCUAACUACUACGUAUUGAUAGCCUUAUAAUGUAACUGGAAAUUUUUUCCUAGCUUAUUUAAUGCACCACAUAUGCAAUAUGAAAUACAAGAUAAACAGCGUUCUUGCAAUGUUUAGAUGUUCUUAAGACGCCUGAGGCAGAUUCUUUUUGGAUAGGGGCAGUUACAAACAGAUACCCCCUCUACCUGCUUCAUUCAGCUGCUUUCAAGAAUGCAAGGAAGUGCCUUGUAGAGUCUGUUCUAAUAUCUGGAGCUUUCCUUCAAACUUUGUGAAUAUGUACAUCCCAGUGAAAUGUAUUACUCUACCAAAGUACAAAAGAGCUUUUUUUUUUCAGCCAGCUUCUUGUAAGAUACAUUUGCUUCUGCCUCAUUUCCCAGUCAAAGCUUUUGAAAUUUAUUUGACACCACUGGCAACUGCUGCUCAUCACGUGUAAAAAUGACACAUGUCCCCAACACAAGUGCAAGCUUAAGUUAUUGAAUUGUUUUUUGUUUCCCAGCACUGGGUCCAGAUCAGAAAUGAUGGUGUAUCCAACCAUGUUUCAUUUAAGGCCUGAAAUCUUACAAGGCUUGUGCUGUGAUUGACAGUAUGUAGUACUGUGAACAACUUCAUUUUUAUCAUUAUUCUUGCAAUUUUUGCAUCACAUGGUGCAAACUUUGCAGUGUAUAUUGCUUUCUUAAUAUUGGCAGUGCAUAUUCUUUAAAUUUACAAAAUUUCGUGGCCAAAAAUUUUUCUCAAUACCUCAGAUUGAGCCUAAAAUGCAGUGUAUUGAACCCACUGAUAAAACACCACUCACAGUGCUACUUUGCACAUUUUUUCCACAAUCAAUGUAUUUCCUAGUUUGCAACUUAGCACACAUGCUGCUUAACACCAAAAGUGAGGUUUGCUGCCUCUAAGACAAAAGUUUGGCGAAUUGAUCAUGUAAUGGUCGUUUGUUUGUAACAUAACCUGGACAAGAUUUGGUGGGACGAGUUGUAGUGUUGUAUAUGUGUCUUUGUCAGGAAGGGAUGCUUUGAGACAUCUGUUGGCCUACUUUGCCGAGAUACUACUUGACACCAUCUCCUCACUGGUGCUCAUGGGCUAUACUUUUUUCAUUUAGAGCGAAGGUGUGCACAGCAGUUACGAGCCUGUGUCGGGGGUUCCCAUGGUUCUUGUGUGCCUUUUUUUUUUGGUGGCGAGUGUUUGAUCUGUGUGCACAAAGAAUGAAGGCACUGUGGAUACUGGCCCUUACUAGUAGCCACGUGUUAAAAGAAAGGUCAAGUUACCGUGGGGAUCAACUGUUCAAAGUAAAAGUUGAGUGGGAAUGUACUAUACAAUUAUUCUGAUUCUGUAGCUGUAUGUUAGAUAUUGCAGUUUGGAACUUUUGGAGCUUUGAAUUAUACAUCUUUAAAUUUUCUGGAACAGCCACUGAGAGGUUCUAAAAAACGUGGAAGCUCUUUAGGUUUUUUUUGUCAACUCUAAUUUCACACUUAGACAAAGGAGCUACGUAAUAUGGACUGAAGGUAUUUACAAUGCUUUUCCCUCAUGAAUGUUGUCCUUAAAUUUAUUUACAUUUGUUUAAUAAGUUUGGGAUUUUCACAGAAGUAUCAGGUGCCUUUCCAUUUUAUGUUGAGCCAUUCACUUACUUAAUUUUUGCCCUGUGACAGUAGCUAAAACCAGUGGCUAAGGAUCAGUAUAUGAAUUGGAGCGUUUAAACAAAUAAAUAUGUUAUAGGUGUGUGAAUAUUUUAAAAAUGGGAAUAACAAGUCUAAUAGUUUAUAUUCGUAAAUACAUAUAUUUUUCCAAUAGGGUACGAAUAUUUAAAAACGUCCACAUCACUUAAUUUAAAAUAAGUUUACAGCAAAAGUAUGAUAAAUUUUAUACCCGUUGGCAUCAAAUACGUAUAAAACGAGAUAGCUUGUGUAUUAGAGCAGGCCAUGACUUUUGGGGAGCCAUAUCCUACCGGCUAUACCUUGAUUGCCUGCACUCAGAAGAUUCAUGUGCAUUCAUAGAAACUGAUUAUUUAUUCUUGAUGCUCAAGUUUUGAUUUUGAUGAAAACUUUAUGAAUACAAAAUAGGAUGUUAAUGUCAUUUUGAUUGUGAAGAUAGCUGUUAAAUAUUUCAAAAUUAUUCUGUAUUCGAUGUGAUAAGUUUUUGCACGCAAUUCAGAGUAAUAUUACCAUUCAAAGAUGCCUAAAGUACAGCCUUUACUUUCACAUUUCUUGCAACGCUUCUUUGAUCAUUUUUUCAUGUACUUAGAAUGAGCAUGUGAUUCGAACAAAAAGUCUGUAGUGUAAGGAAGGUUAUAGGAUUUCAGGAACAUAAAUGAAAACUUGAACUUGGACUUAAUAUCAAGCAGAAUUUGUCAUUUUGUGGUGUCACAACCUGACAGAUUUUGUGAAUUUUCUUGUGCUAGUAUGCCAGCAUGUUUCACUGUUUAGCAUCACUCAAUGUCUUUUUUUUUUCCCGCUGGUUUCAUGGGCACAAUUUGGGUAAUUGACUGACAUCCAUCUGUUUUGUGUUUUACCUGUGUUUGACUCUUGGUGAUCAGCUAUAUAUGGUUAGUCACUACAAUUGAGGAAGGGCCAGCAAAUUGUUCAUGACAAACAUCCAAAUAAUGACACAUACCUUGUGUGAUUGAACCACUUGUAGCACUAUGCCAUUGUGACGUGCAAAGUAUGGCUAACAUUUUAGGAGCAUUUUAUUUGCACUUAUAUCCUCAUAAUCUUUGUUUUGAAAAAGCCCUAUUUAGCACUUAUAUUUUUGUUUAGGGGGUGCUUGUCACUGUUUCUAUACCAAUGGGAUAGCGAUUUUGCCUCCCUUGGUUCAGCUUCUUUUUUUUUUUUUUUGCGUAAAACUCAGUGGCAACCAGUGGAGUGUGUUUUGGUGUUCUGUUACUAACGAAAAUCCUACUUGUGCUUCCAUGAUAAUACUCUUCAACUUCGGGACUAAUAUGUGGGGUGUGCAGUUUGUGACGCUCAGAGGGCUGUAGAGCUCUAGCUUUUUUUGUUAUUUCAAAGGACUGGUAACGGGACUGUCUGUUAGGUUUUUGUCAAGUGCUCCAUUUAUGACAUAUCAGUUCCAUGGAAACGCAUGACGUAGAUUGGCAUUAAUGGAACAGAAUAUUUUAACCAGACAGGCAUUCCAGCUACAUUGUUGAUUUUGAGUGGAUGAAAACUGUUCUCUUUCAAGAUAUUGAUGUGAGCUCAAGGCUGUGUCAUCUUGAUAGUGUAAUUGUGGAUGUGUAGCGAGAUUUAUUUGUGCCGUGAGGCUGACCUUGGAGAGCUGAGACACUAUUUACAGAUUCUUCCCAUUGUGUACUCAACUUUUCUUGCACCAAGCUUAAUAGCAGGUGUGCAGGAUUAUCACCAAAUGCUUGAGGGCCUGUACUUGGGCCACAUUUUGGCUGGGCUUUUCUCAAAAAUUUCACUAUUGUUUCUCUGGAGCGAGAACAAAUUUGCAACCAAAGGUCUUUUUUUUUCUCUCUUUUUCCAUCGUGAACAAAUUAAACUAUUUUAUAAGGACAAGAAUAAGUUGCCCAAACAUUAUGGAAUGUGUUCAUCUAACUAUGUGCUUAAUAAUUAUCAUUCCUUCUGCACUGCCAUGGCAUCGUUUAUGGUAGACAUUGUCUUCCGGAUCAAAGUGUGUAUAGGUGAUGGUGCUGUGCCUUAAUUAUCAUGAGGUUGGCGGUUUAUGCUGUGCUUUCACACGCUCAUACAUUAUUGUAUUAGUCCUACAUCCAUGCCACAUGAUAGUGUGUGUGCUUGUGAACAGCUUGUAGGAGCUAGGACUCCUGAUUUAUGAAGAAGCGUUACUGUUUUGAAACAAGCCUUGCAGCAGUGCAUUUUGCACUGGAAUCCACUGUGAUGCACAGUCACACAUGCAACAUUCAAGUGUGGUUGUUUGAGCAAAUUUUGUAUUUACAUGCUGAAAAACUGAGGAAUAUGCAAUAAAGAAUAAGCAGUAAGUAU